rnacentral:tRNA from 8 species
UCCUCAGUAGCUCAGUGGUAGAGCGAUCGACUGUUAAUCGAUUGGUCACUGGUUCGAAUCCAGUCUGGGGAG